UACGGGGGGGGGUAAGCGUUGUUCGGAAUUACUGGGCGUAAAGGGCUCGUAGGCGGCCAACUAAGUCAGACGUGAAAUCCCUCAGCUUAACUGGGGAACUGCGUCUGAUACUGGAUGGCUUGGAUUUGGGAGAGGGAUGCGGAAUUCCAGGUGUAGCGGUGAAAUGCGUAGAUAUCUGGAGGAACACCGGUGGCGAAGGCGGCAUCCUGGACCGAUACUGACGCUGAGGAGCGAAAGCCAGGGGAGCAAACGGG
rnacentral:rRNA from 1 species